AUUGAACGCUGGCGGCAUGCUUUACACAUGCAAGUCGAACGGUAACAGGGAGCUUGCUCCGCUGACGAGUGGCGAACGGGUGAGUAAUGCAUCGGAACGUACCCAGUCGUGGGGGAUAACGUAGCGAAAGUUACGCUAAUACCGCAUACGUCCUGAGGGAGAAAGCGGGGGACCGUAAAGGCCUCGCGCGAUUGGAGCGGCCGAUGUCGGAUUAGCUAGUUGGUAGGGUAAAGGCCUACCAAGGCGACGAUCCGUAGCGGGUCUGAGAGGAUGAUCCGCCACACUGGGACUGAGACACGGCCCAGACUCCUACGGGAGGCAGCAGUGGGGGAAUUUUGGACAAUGGGCGAAAGCCUGAUCCAGCCAUGCCGCGUGAGUGAAGAAGGCCUCGGUUGUAAGUACGUACGUUUCUACGUACCGGAAACGGAAAGUACGCGCACGGAGUAAU
rnacentral:rRNA from 1 species